GGCGAACGGGUGAGUAAUAUAUCGGAACGUGCCCAGUUGUGGGGGAUAACUACUCGAAAGAGUAGCUAAUACCGCAUGAGACCUGAGGGUGAAAGCGGGGGAUCGCAAGACCUCGCGCAGUUGGAGCGGCCGAUAUCAGAUUAGCUAGUUGGCGGGGUAAAAGCCCACCAAGGCGACGAUCUGUAGCUGGUCUGAGAGGACGACCAGCCACACUGGGACUGAGACACGGCCCAGACUCCUACGGGAGGCAGCAGUGGGGAAUUUUGGACAAUGGACGAAAGUCUGAUCCAGCCAUGCCGCGUGUGGGAAGAAGGCCUUCGGGUUGUAAACCACUUUUGUCAGGGAAGAAACGGCUCGGGUUAAUACCUUGGGCUAAUGACGGUACCUGAAGAAUAAGCACCGGCUAACUACGUGCCAGCAGCCGCGGUAAUACGUAGGGUGCAAGCGUUAAUCGGAAUUACUGGGCGUAAAGCGUGCGCAGGCGGUUAUGCAAGACAGAUGUGAAAUCCCCGGGCUCAACCUAGGAACUGCAUUUGUGACUGCAUGGCUAGAGUACGGUAGAGGGGGAUGGAAUUCCGCGUGUAGCAGUGAAAUGCGUAGAUAUGCGGAGGAACACCGAUGGCGAAGGCAAUCCCCUGGA
rnacentral:rRNA from 1 species